rnacentral:misc_RNA from 1 species
GGAGUAAAAGUCGUAACAAGGUUACCGUAGGUGAACCUGCGGAAGGAUCAUUAUUGUAUAACCGAGGUGCGAGGGCUGUCGCUGACCCGAAAGGUCGUGCACGCCCGAGUGCCCUCACACACAUCCAUCUCACCCCUAUGUGCACCACCGCGUGGGUCCCCCUUUGGCUUGUUCGGAGGGGGGCUUACGUUUUCACACAAACUUUGUAUGCAGUGUAGAAUGUAUUUUUUGUUUUUGCGAUCACGCAAUCAAUACAACUUUCAACAACGGAUCUCUUGGCUCUC